GAUGAACGCUGGCGGCGUGCCUAAUACAUGCAAGUCGAACGCAUAGCGAAAGGUGCUUGCACCUUUCAAGUGAGUGGCGAACGGGUGAGUAACACGUGGACAACCUGCCUCAAGGCUGGGGAUAACAUUUGGAAACGGAUGCUAAUACCGAAUAAAACUUAGUGUCGCAUGACACAAAGUUAAAAGGCGCUUCGGCGUCACCUAGAGAUGGAUCCGCGGUGCAUUAGUUAGUUGGUGGGGUAAAGGCCUACCAAGACAAUGAUGCAUAGCCGAGUUGAGAGACUGAUCGGCCACAUUGGGACUGAGACACGGCCCAAACUCCUACGGGAGGCUGCAGUAGGGAAUCUUCCACAAUGGGCGAAAGCCUGAUGGAGCAACGCCGCGUGUGUGAUGAAGGCUUUCGGGUCGUAAAGCACUGUUGUAUGGGAAGAACAGCUAGAAUAGGAAAUGAUUUUAGUUUGACGGUACCAUACCAGAAAGGGACGGCUAAAUACGUG
rnacentral:rRNA from 1 species